rnacentral:rRNA from 1 species
UACAGAGGUCCCAAGCGUUGUUCGGAUUCACUGGGCGUAAAGGGUACGUAGGUGGUGGAUUAAGUCGGGUGUGAAAUCUCCGGGCUCAACCCGGAGGGUGCGCCCGAAACUGAUCCGCUCGAGGGUGGGAGGGGAGACUGGAAUUCUCGGUGUAGCAGUGAAAUGCGUAGAUAUCGAGAGGAACACCAGUGGCGAAGGCGAGUCCCUGGACAACUUCUGACACUGAGGCACGAAAGCUAGGGGAGCAAACAGG